rnacentral:lncRNA from 1 species
AGGGAAGGGACGCCUCCUGCUGAUUCUACGGAAUCCUGAGGCUUGUCGGGAGAUCAGAACCGAUCGAGGGAGUUCUGGCUUAGUUUGACAAAGUUAGCGACAGAAGUGAGGACUUGAGGAGACUUGAGCCCAGGGAGUGGGACAAAGGGACUCCCCUGCGUGGCUACCUGUCCAUUCACAAUGGCCUCCAUUCAUAAAGAGGGCUUUGGAGGAUCUUGAAAUUCCACUUAGUGCCCUAUGGGACCACAGAACUCUGAUCUAACCACUGAAUUUUCUAGUCUAUUCGAGCUCACUGAGACUGGCUCACUGGCUGACUACCCACACUGACUCUCCUGGAGGCUUCAGCACUGGCUAGGGAGACUUUGAAGCAGGGUGGGGCUACUACAGAGCAGAUGUGCAGGAGCCAGCUCAGGGUGGCCAACUCAGAACUCAGAAGCGCUGUGCUACAGCAAAUGACUCAAUAAACAGUCUUUUAGAGAGUGGACUUA